UCAGAAUAAACAUCCUUCCAACAGGGCGCUCUUUGCCAUUUCCUCCAUCCCUUGAAAGCAAGAGGUUUUAAAAAAUGAAGCAGUUUUUGAGUCAUCAAAAUGCCAAAAUCACAGAGGAUUAAAUGUUUUGAACAGCAGGGGAGGAAACUAAGGA